GCCUGGGUAGCUCAGUCGGUUGAGCGUCCGACUUCAGCUCAGGUCAUGAUCUCGCAGUUUGUGAGUUCGAGCCCCGCAUCGGGCU
rnacentral:tRNA from 1 species